UCUGAGGUCAUCAUUACGUCCAUCCUGGGUGGGAAUCUGUCUACAUUUACCUUUAAUUACUGGGUCUAAAAACAUGGAAAAGUCCCAGAUACUAAAAUAAACCCAGUUUCACAGAAGCACCCAUUUAGAAAAAUGUGGAGUUGUCAUUAUUUAUAUUUUAUUCUGAUAGUAUUU